rnacentral:rRNA from 1 species
UACGGAGGAUGCGAGCGUUAUCCGGAUUUAUUGGGUUUAAAGGGUGCGUAGGCGGUCCGUUAAGUCAGCGGCAAAAUUGCGGGGCUCAACCCCGUCGAGCCGUUGAAACUGUCAGACUUGAGUUGGCGAGAAGUACGCGGAAUGCGCGGUGUAGCGGUGAAAUGCAUAGAUAUCGCGCAGAACUCCGAUUGCGAAGGCAGCGUACCGGCGCCACACUGACGCUGAGGCACGAAAGCGUGGGGAUCGAACAGG